UACGUAGGGUGCGAGCGUUGUCCGGAAUUAUUGGGCGUAAAGAGCUCGUAGGCGGUCUGUCGCGUCUGCUGUGAAAUCCCGAGGCUCAACCUCGGGCCUGCAGUGGGUACGGGCAGACUAGAGUGCGGUAGGGGAGAAUGGAAUUCCUGGUGUAGCGGUGGAAUGCGCAGAUAUCAGGAGGAACACCGAUGGCGAAGGCAGUUCUCUGGGCCGUAACUGACGCUGAGGAGCGAAAGCGUGGGGAGCGAACAGG
rnacentral:rRNA from 1 species